UGGAUUGGGCUAGGGGUGGGCCCAAGGGAAGGCGGGAGAUGCUUCUUUCUGAUUGGCCCUCCUUUGGCGGGUUCAGACAGUGCCCGGUCAAGGAGGGGAGAAGAACCCGGAACCGGCCCCAUCUUAAGGUACGGCGCCAUUUUAAGGUACCCCACGUUACCUAACAAAAUCGGUGAACAUCAAGCCCAGACCUAGGAUAGGGAACAGAAGAAGAACAUCAAACUUGCUAGCUCAGAGCGUCAAAAGUAGAGGAGAAACAGAAAGAAGGGUCCAGAAAGGCAGUUCAGAACUAAGACCAUGAACGGUCAAUUUGUACAGGAGCUCCCCUCUCCAGGGUGCUUGAACACAGAACAUCUCACUUAACUCUUAGCACAGUCCUUAAGGUCCAAAGCACAGUUUAUUUUUAAUACUGUAAAGAUACCACAGUCCUGAUCCUCAUUUUAAGAAGAAAAUGCUGCCAUCUUUAAAGAAAUAUAGCUUCACAUAAAAUCCUGAGUUACAAAAGUGAAGACCUAAAAUUCAGAUGAAACAUAAUAGUCUACUAAUGUUUCAAAUUGCCUAUUGGUUUAUUAUGUUUUCCCUUACUUAGGCAAGUAAAGUUAAGAACUAUUGAAGUUCACGGCCAUGAGGGCACAUCCAUGGAUAUCACAAAGCAGCCCUUUUACAUUUUCUGUCUCUGUGAAUCCAGCCUUCAGCAGGGUGAUUGACAGCUUCAACCUGGGGAAAGAACGCAGUCUUUCCUCUGGGACUUCCCAGACCCAAGACCCUGCCCAUCCCCAUCACAGCUCUCUAAGCCCGACUGCCUGUGAGGCGGAGAAAGACUCAAAAAAACUGUGCCAAUCCCAAUGAUAC